rnacentral:rRNA from 1 species
UACAGAGGGGCAAGCGUUGUUCGGAAUUACUGGGCGUAAAGGGCUCGUAGGCGGCCAACUAAGUCAGACGUGAAAUCCCUCGGCUUAACCGGGGAACUGCAUCUGAUACUGGAUGGCUUGAGUUCGGGAGAGGGAUGCGGAAUUCCAGGUGUAGCGGUGAAAUGCGUAGAUAUCUGGAGGAACACCGGUGGCGAAGGCGGCAUCCUGGACCGACACUGACGCUGAGGAGCGAAAGCCAGGGGAGCAAACGGG